UUCGGUGACUUUAGCGGAGGGGCAACACCUCUUCCCAUCUCGAACAGAGAAGUUAAGACCUCCAGCGCCGAUGGUACUGCAUGGUUACAUGUGGGAGAGUAGGUCGUCGCCGAAU
rnacentral:rRNA from 1 species